UCCGGAUGAAGUCUUCCUGCUAUAGAAGUCGGGGAUGAAGUUCGGCUCCCGUAGGAGUCCGAAUGAAGUCUACCUGCUGUAGGAGUCGGGGAUGAAGUUCGGCUCCCGUAGGAGUCCGGAUGAAGUCUACCUGCUGUAGAAGUCGGGGAUGAAUUCUGGUUCCCGUAGGAGUCCGGAUGAAGUCUAGAAGGUGGUCGAUCGUCGUGGAAACUUGGGUGGAGUUCAUCCGCCAUGAAGAAUCCGGUCGACGCUGGUGGAGGCUUACCCAUCAGCAAAACUUGGGAGCGUUGUGGAGGCUCAGCCGCUAGAGAGGUUCGGAGAGAUACCGUCGA
rnacentral:lncRNA from 1 species